CCUACGGGUGGCAGCAGUGAGGAAUAUUGCACAAUGGGGGAAACCCUGAUGCAGCGACGCCGCGUGUGGGAAGACGGUCCUCUGGAUUGUAAACCACUGUCCCCAGGGACGAAGAUGACGGUACCUGAGUAAGAAGCCCCGGCUAACUACGUGCCAGCAGCCGCGGUAAUACGUAGGGGGCAAGCGUUAUCCGGAAUUACUGGGUGUAAAGGGAGCGUAGACGGUGAUGUAAGUCUGGAGUGAAGGCGGGGGCCCAACCCCCGGACUGCUCUGGAAACUAUGUGACUGGAGUGCAGGAGAGGUGAGCGGAAUUCCUAGUGUAGCGGUGAAAUGCGUAGAUAUUAGGAGGAACACCAGUGGCGAAGGCGGCUCACUGGACUGUAACUGACGUUGAGGCUCGAAAGCGUGGGGAGCAAACAGGAUUAGAUACCCGGGUAGUC
rnacentral:rRNA from 1 species